AUGUAGGAUGCCGUUGACUUUUCGUCCAACGUUUGACCAUUCAUCUUAUUUAAAAAAAUUAUGUAAUUAUUAUUUAUUUUAUUAUGACUUGAUUCAUCAUCAAAUGUUCUUUAAGCAUGACAUAAAAUUUUUUAUAUUUUCACAUAAAUUUUAAAUAAAACAAAUGGUCAAACGUUAAUAAAAAGUCAACGGCGUCAUACAUU
rfam:Oryza glaberrima chromosome 5 Oglab05_0008_45, whole genome shotgun sequence.